GAGGAGGUUGAUCAUCAGGAGUCAGAUGUGAAGGAGGAGGUUGAUCAUCAGGAGUCAGAUGUGAAGGAGGAGGUUGAUCAUCAGGAGUCAGAUGUGAAGGAGGUUGAUCAUCAGGAGUCAGAUGUGAAGGAGGUUGAUCAUCAGGAGUCAGAUGUGAAGGAGGAGGUUGAUCAUCAGGAGUCAGAUGUGAAGGAGGAGGUUGAUCAUCAGGAGUCAGAUGUGAAGGAGGAGGUUGAUCAUCAGGAGUCAGAUGUGAAGGAGGAGGUUGAUCAUCAUGAGUCAGAUGUGAAGGAUGAGGUUGAUCAUCAGGAGUCAGAUGUGAAGGAGGAGGUUGAUCAUCAGGAGUCAGAUGUGAAGCAGGAGGUUGAUCAUCAGGAGUCAGAUGUGAAGGAGGAGGUUGAUCAUCAGGAGUCAGAUGUGAAGGAGGAGGUUAAUGGCCACAUCAGUGAAUUGUACUUUUUUGAGAAAUGUCCUCUGGUCUGAUGAAACAAAUGUAGAACUGUUUGGCCAUAAUUACCAUCGUUAUGUUUGUAAGAAAAACGGGAGAGGCUUG
ensembl:lncRNA